ensembl:lncRNA
UGUGUGUGUGUGUGUGUGUGUGUGUGUGUGUGUGUGUGUGUGUGGCAGGGCUCGGCUCUGUUCAGCACUCUGUGUGGAGCACACUGGAGGAAUCAGGAGCAGGAGCAGAUUCAGAACGUCUUCAAGAGGUCUCACUCGGUUCAUCCGCUCAUGCGUCUCUCGCCGAAGCUCUCUCUGCGCAGGAAGAAGCAGCAGAGAAGCUGAAGAGAGUUUGCGGCGUGUCUGGACGACGUAUUCGAGGUGCGUGCAGAUUAAACUAUUGUGUAAAGCAGAUGCUCACACACACAUACAGCUAAAAACUGAAGUUAAUUCAGGAUUCACACAUUUCUGGAACAGUUCAUCUUUUCAUGAUUACAGGAUAAGAACUUCAUAGGUUCAUUAAUUUAAUGCACUUUAUAAAUUGAUUUAUUGUUUUAUUACUUCAUCAAAUGUAACUAAUUAAAAUAUAAUUUUUAAUUUACUUAAUGUUUAAUUAUUUUUUUAAUUUAACCAAUAUCAACUUAAUUUUUUAAAUUACACAAGAUUCAUCAAAACAUUUUUAAGUCAGUUUAAUAUUAUAGGAUUUUUUAAUAAUCUGAAAUAAGACAAUCUGAUUCGACUUAAAAAGUCAAGGCAGCAACUAAACUGAAGUUUCUGAGUUUAAAGUACUCAAAAAAUAAAAUAAAAAAAUAAAUAAAAAUACUACCA